rnacentral:rRNA from 1 species
GACGAACGCUGGCGGCGUGCUUAACACAUGCAAGUCGAACGGUAAGGCCCUGCUUUUGUGGGGUGCUCGAGUGGCGAACGGGUGAGUAACACGUGAGUAACCUGCCCUUGACUUUGGGAUAACUUCAGGAAACUGGGGCUAAUACCGGAUAGGAGCUCCUGCUGCAUGGUGGGGGUUGGAAAGUUUCUGCGGUUGGGGAUGGACUCGCGGCUUAUCAGCUUGUUGGUGGGGUAGUGGCUUACCAAGGCUUUGACGGGUAGCCGGCCUGAGAGGGUGACCGGCCACAUUGGGACUGAGAUACGGCCCAGACUCCUACGGGAGGCAGCAGUGGGGAAUAUUGCACAAUGGGCGGAAGCCUGAUGCAGCAACGCCGCGUGCGGGAUGACGGCCUUCGGGUUGUAAACCGCUUUCGCCUGUGACGAAGCGUGAGUGACGGUAAUGGGUAAAGAAGCACCGGCUAACUACGUG